UACGUAGGGCGCAAGCGUUGUCCGGAAUUAUUGGGCGUAAAGAGCUCGUAGGCGGUCUGUUGCGUCUGCCGUGAAAACCCGAGGCUUAACCUCGGGCCUGCGGUGGAUACGGGCGGACUAGAGGUAGGUAGGGGAGAAUGGAAUUCCCGGUGUAGCGGUGAAAUGCGCAGAUAUCGGGAGGAACACCGGUGGCGAAGGCGGUUCUCUGGGCCUUACCUGACGCUGAGGAGCGAAAGCAUGGGGAGCGAACAGG
rnacentral:rRNA from 1 species